rnacentral:rRNA from 1 species
UACGAAGGGGGCUAGCGUUGCUCGGAAUCACUGGGCGUAAAGCGCACGUAGGCGGAUUCCUAAGUCGGGGGUGAAAUCCUGGAGCUCAACUCCAGAACUGCCUUCGAUACUGGGAAUCUUGAGUCCGGAAGAGGAGAGUGGAACUGCGAGUGUAGAGGUGAAAUUCGUAGAUAUUCGCAAGAACACCAGUGGCGAAGGCGGCUCACUGGUCCGGUACUGACGCUGAGGUGCGAAAGCGUGGGGAGCAAACAGG